rnacentral:rRNA from 1 species
CCUACGGGAGGCAGCAGUGGGGAAUAUUGCUCAAUGGGCGAAAGCCUGAUGCAGCAACGCCGCGUGAAGGAAGAAGGGUUUCGGCUCGUUAACUUCUAUCAGCAGGGACGAAAUACAUGACGGUACCUGAAUAAGAAGCCGCGGCGAACUACGUGCCAGCAGCCGCGGUUAUACGUAGGGGGCAAGCGUUAUACGGAAUUACUGGGUGUAAAGGGUGAGUAGGCGGGAUGGUAAGCCAGAUGGGAAAGGUUUGGGCUUAAACCGAGGAUUGCAUUUGGAACUAGCAAGCUAGAGUAGAGGAGAGGAAAGCGGAAUUCGUAGUGUAGCGGUGAAAUGCGUAGAUAUUAGGAAGAACACCAGUGGCGAAGGCGGCAUUCUGGACCAAAACUGACGCUGAGGCACGAAAGCGUGGGGAGCGAACAGGAUUAGAUACCCCGGUAGUC